CUAAUGUUAUCUGCUCUUUUAGGGCAAAGUUUCUCCACCUCGUCACUGCUGCCAUCCCGGUCAUUCUUUGUGGGCUCUGCAACUUCUGGGAUGUGUAAGAACAACUCUUGCCUUGAAAUUCCAGAUGCCGGUGGAUCCUCUCUCCCCAGUGGUGACAACCAAAGCUAUCUCUAGAUGUGGCCAAAUAUCCUUUAAGAGUAAGGGGGGGAAAAUCCCUCUACCCUCCAGGAACCACUGACCUAGAGUAAUGAAAGCUGAUGAGCUCACUUCAGUGGAAAAGUUCAUGUUUGCUUUGAAACUGACAGUUGGAGCCAAAAUCUCAGGUUGGUGAAGUUCAGCUCAGAUGCUAAAUUUAGGGUCAUUCAUUCUUCUCCAUAAUAUAAUGUGGAUAUGAAAUAGACAGGCUCUAGGGGAGGUCUUGUUUUUGUCCAGUUUCUAUCAAUCACCAUAUUUAUUGAGCAUCUAUUAUGGGAAACGAUGAGGUAGAUAGACUCUAAUGAGUCUACUAUGUGAGGUUCUGGUGACUUGGCCUUGGGAAAGGCUUUAAAAUUUCCGACCAUA